CUGAAGGCUAAUCCUUGUUCAAGAUCAAUUAGUUUUUUGUUUUUUUUUCUUUGAUAGGAUAUAUGGUCUCAGUCAGGGAUUACAUUUGUAACAUUGUAUUGGGGCCAUGUUAGUGAGGAAAGCUGAAUCACUUGUCCUGUGAACAAGUGACUUCGUAAAGGCAGUGUUUGUGGAUAUUUUGUAAGAGGAAUCUCAGUGUACUAAUUCAAUUAAAACAAUGUAUUUACUCAAAAUAUAAUUCACUAUAAAAUCUAAUGCGCAUUAAAAUUUUGAAAUCUGGGAGUUUUCCUGGC